CUUGCGGCCACAUCACACUGAAAUGCCAGUUCCCAUAAGUUAAGCAACAUCGAGCCUGGUCAGUACCUAGAUGGUUGACCGCUAGGGAAUUCCAGGUGCUGUAAG